CUGCUCUGCUCUGCCCCAUCUGUGUCUGCCCCCACAGCUCCAGAGAUCCCUUAUCCCCCUUUUCAAUCCAGGGGACAGUGCAGGUUUCCCGGGAUGCUGGAGCUGCAGAAGUGUUGCACUGCGGGAGCAGGAUCGCAGAGAGCCACUGGCUCCUGCUCCUCUUCCAGGACAGCACUGCAGGGAUGCUUCUCCUGGCACAGAGCUGAGUCCAGCGAUGUUUCCCAGCAGACAGAGCCAUAUCCCUCACCAUGGCCCUCUCCUUUCCCCUCGGAGCCAUCCCUCUGAUCACCCUCUCUUCCCUGGAAACCUCCAUCUGCUCCCACCGGCCGCCUCCUCUGGAGUGCAGCGAGGCAAGGAGUUAAUGGAGUGUGUAAACAUCGGCUGCCGUGUCAAUAAAUUACCCUUUGCUAUUUCGGGCUGUUUCUCACGCUGACCUUUUGUUCCCUGCACUCACCCAUUAAUUUUUAAACCUUCUCCUCUCCCCUGGAAUGCUCACUUCACCUCCUGCCCGAUGGCAGGGACUCUUGGAGCACUACAUGACCCCGUUCCUGCUGGGGACAGGGACACUGUGACUGACUGAGGUGGCCCCACUGGUGGCACUGCCCUCCAGCGUGGCUGCAGCCACAGCUGGGAACCUCCAGCUCCUUUCCCCACAGUGGUGACACAACUUGUGUCCCUGGGACUGGGGCUAUGGCAUGAGCUUAAAAUCCCCUUUUCCCCCAUUAACUCCAUCCAGAAGUUGUUGGCACUGGUGGCAACAUUUUCCAACCCCACACUGCCUUGUGGGGGUGCUUUGGAAGCACCUGAGGGUAGAGGAGGAGCUGGUGGGUUCAGAGCUCCAGGAACAAGCCCAGGCCGUGCUGGAGGGGCUGAUGGCCACUCCCAGGAGGGGACAAGCUCUGCCUGGCUUGAGCAGUGGGUGCAUCAGGGCUCUGGCUCUCCAGGUUUUCACCUGAAUGCUCUGCUGUUGUGUCUGACAGGCACGGGACUGGAUCCCAGUGCUCCAGGAUCCCAGCACUCCAGGAUCCAUCCCAGUGCUCCAGGAUCCAUCCCAGUGCUCCAGGAUCCAUCCCAGCACUCCAGGAUCCCAGUGCUCCAGGAUCCCAGCACUCCAGGAUCCCAGUGCUCCAGGAUCCCAGCACUCCAGGAUCCAUCCCAGCACUCCAGGAUGCCAGUGCUCCAGGAUCCCAGUGCUCCAGGAUCCCAGUGCUCCAGGAUCCCAGUGCUCCAGGAUCCAUCCCAGUGCUCCAGGAUCCCAGCUGGACGUGGCUGUGGGCACUGCCAGAGCCACGCUCCUUGGAGCAGGAUGCCAUCUCUCUUGUGUACAUUGUCACCAAACUUUAAAGCACAUUUUAUCCUGGACCUGCUCAGCCACGAGGGCACAAUCCCUCAUUCAGCAAGCAAACCCUGAUGCGGAGGGAGAAGCAUCCCCCAAAAAAGCGAUGCAGAACUGGAACCCCACAAAAUUUAACAGCAAAA